GACGAACGCUGGCGGCGUGCCUAAUACAUGCAAGUCGAACGCAGUGGGGACGGGUGAGUAACACGUGGGUAACCUCCCAUCAGAGGGGAUAACACUUGGAAACAGGUGCUAAACCGAUAUUGGUUGAUGGACCCGCGGUGCAUUAGCUAGUUGGUGAGGUAACGGCUCACCAGGGCCACGAUGCAUAGCCGACAGGAGAGGGGGAUCGGCCACACUGGGACGUAGACACGGCCCAGACGCCUACGGGAGGCAGCAGUGGGGAAUCUUCGGAAAUGGACGAAAGUCUGACCGAGCGACGCCGCGGGAGUGAAGAAGGUUUUCGGAUCGUAAAACUCUGUUGUGAGAGAAGCGGUAGCUAACCAGGAAGCCACGGCUAACUACGUGCCAGCAGCCGCGGUAAUUC
rnacentral:rRNA from 1 species